GGUAAAAUUAGAACUAAUUUUACCACGGGCAAAAUUAGAACUAAUUUUGCCCGUGGUAAACUUAGUUCUAAUUUUCCC